rnacentral:rRNA from 1 species
UACGUAGGGUGCAAGCGUUAAUCGGAAUUACUGGGCGUAAAGCGUGCGCAGGCGGCUUUGCAAGACAGAUGUGAAAUCCCCGGGCUCAACCUGGGAACCUGCAUUUGUGACUGCAAGGCUAGAGUACGGUAGAGGGGGAUGGAAUCCGCGUGUAGCAGUGAAAUGCGUAGAUAUGCGGAGGAACACCGAUGGCGAAGGCAAUCCCCUGGACCUGUACUGACGCUCUGCACGAAAGGCGUGGGGAGCAAACAGG